rnacentral:rRNA from 1 species
UUGGACCUGAUAUCAAGUAAGAUUACCCGCUGAACUUAAGCAUAUCAAUAAGCGGAGGA